UCUCACACAUAUAAUUAUUCCUAUCACACGAAGUCUACACCUUAAAGUCCAUCACCUCCUCUUGCUCUCAUCAAAUAGACUAUUAGACCCAGAGGUCCAAGACGAACUCUUCCACACUUUAUAAUUAUUUUCUUAUGUGUUGGCAUCUUUUCAUGUAAUUUUUUUGGGUUUUUCUUGUUUAUGUUAGAUCUAUGAGCCAAACAACAAAGCCCCAUUCAUGGAUCUUCGUUAUAGAUUUACUAAAAUGAAAUUUGUUACCAUGUCUUAUAUUUCUUCACCCUCUCUUUUAUGCUUUGCCCUGUCCUUCGUUCAAACCAUGGCAAAUAAUCAUCUUCAACGACCGUGAUUUCCUUGAUUAAGAAUGUUAUGGAGUGGAAAAAUCUCCAACAGCUGUUGGCACUCCGCUAAGCCCUUCUCAAUCUUCAUGCUUCUGUCAUCCCAAAGCAUAAAGCAACUGUUUCACAGGUUCUUCCUUCGAGUCCACAUGAAAACAUAGAGAUAGAAUCUCUUGAAACGAAUGAAGUACCUAAUUUGAUGGAUGAGGUUAAGAAUACCUAAUUUUGUGUAUAUUAAAUCUUUUUGGUAAUCAGAUUCAAGGAUUGCAAAACAUGUUCAAGUAUCUUCUAGAAGCAGAAAGCCAAAUGGGAACGGAUAAAAAUGAUGAAAAUGUUGCUGGUUACUCUGUUGGAGCUGGGCAUAAUGUACCUGUUGUUGUUGGUGUUGUGUAUACUAAAUCUUUCUGGUAAUCAGAUUCAAGGAUUGCAAAACAUGUUCAAGUAUCUUCUAGAAGCUGAAAGCCAAAUGGGAACAGAUAAAAAUGAUGAAAAUGUUGCUGGUUACUCUGUUGGAGUUGGGCAUAGUGUACCUGUUGCUGCUGGUGUUGGGGAUACAAACAUAUGUGGGUGUAUAGUUCAGUUGUAUUUGGAUAAUAUUUUGGGCAGAUGUUUGGAUUUCAGUGAACAAGUUCGUCAAUCAGACCUAAAGGGAACAAAUUCAUGUGGAACAAAUGAAUCAGAAUUACGAAAGUUGCAAGUUGCUUGCAUCAGACAAGAAAACAAAGAGAAGAGGACAGAAUAAACUUUCACAAGUUUUUGGAGGCCGGCCGGGCACCGAAAGAACCUGCACUGCUGUUUUAUGAAGUACUGGUUUUGAAAACUACAGGCUAUGUAGACGUGGAGCAAAACGAAGCUUAUGGUGAUAUUGCAAUCUCUAAACUCCCAAAAUUAGAUCAAACAUUUUUAUUUGAUGCAGGAUUAUAUAUGAAGUUGGAGAAGAAAUUGCGAAGCUGUAUUUAUGUGUGCACAAGUGCAUCAAACAGUGGCUCAUGCACAGGAACCAAUGCCUGAUCUGCAAACAAAUUGCCUUGACUACGAAUAAUGUCAAAAAUGAAGUUGGAGCUGGAGCUUAAGUUAAUUAUGGAGAUGUCAAUUCUUAGUUCCUGCCUACAACUUUAAAGACCAAGGUUCCACUUUCAUUUUUCCUCCAUGCAUGGAACAAAGUUAUUUAUGUACUUGAUGCAACUUCAACGAAGAGGUUGAUCUCAAGAAAGGGCAAUAAGUAAGAAGAUGGGCAACCCAUAUGAACCCCAUUCAUAGACUUUCAUUGCAAAUCUAGAUAGAUGGAAGUUGUUCACCUUGACUUAUAUUUCUUCGUUCUCUCUGUUAUGCCUUGCCAUAUCCUUGGUUCUAACCAUGGCUAAUAAACAUAUUCCACUAUUGUGAUUUUCUUGAUUAAUUAGUGUGUUUGGACCUGCAAUCCAAGAGAAGACAUUGACAACUCUAGUUCGGUAGAAAAGUCUAGACUUUUCUAUUUCAUUUCUAGAUUUAUCUUAUUUCUAAUUUUGGUCUUUAGGCCUCCAUUAAUUGCUUUUUGUAUUGGAGAUUGUAUCAAAGGGUAUGUAUUAAGAUCUCCAGCUCAAUUUAUCACUAUAAAUAAUUUCCAUUGAGAGAAA